UGGGGAAUAUUGGACAAUGGGGGCAACCCUGAUCCAGCAAUGCCGCGUGUGUGAAGAAGGUCUUCGGAUUGUAAAGCACUUUCGACGGGGACGAUGAUGACGGUACCCGUAGAAGAAGCCCCGGCUAACUUCGUGCCAGCAGCCGCGGUAAUACGAAGGGGGCUAGCGUUGCUCGGAAUGACUGGGCGUAAAGGGCGUGUAGGCGGUUUACACAGUCAGAUGUGAAAUCCCCGGGCUUAACCUGGGAGCUGCAUUUGAUACGUGUAGACUAGAGUGUGAGAGAGGGUUGUGGAAUUCCCAGUGUAGAGGUGAAAUUCGUAGAUAUUGGGAAGAACACCGGUGGCGAAGGCGGCAACCUGGCUCAUGACCGACGCUGAGGCGCGAAAGCGUGGGGAGCAAACAGGUUAGAUACCCUGGUAGUCCACGCUGUAAACGAUGUGUGCUAGAUGUUGGGUAACUUUGUU
rnacentral:rRNA from 1 species